GGAUGAACGCUGGCGGCGUGCNUAAUACAUGCAAGUCGAGCGAACUGAUUAGAAGCUUGCUUCUAUGACGUUAGCGGCGGACGGGUGAGUAACACGUGGGCAACCUGCCUGUAAGACUGGGAUAACUUCGGGAAACCGAAGCUAAUACCGGAUAGGAUCUUCUCCUUCAUGGGAGAUGAUUGAAAGAUGGUUUCGGCUAUCACUUACAGAUGGGCCCGCGGUGCAUUAGCUAGUUGGUGAGGUAACGGCUCACCAAGGCAACGAUGCAUAGCCGACCUGAGAGGGUGAUCGGCCACACUGGGACUGAGACACGGCCCAGACUCCUACGGGAGGCAGCAGUAGGGAAUCUUCCGCAAUGGACGAAAGUCUGACGGAGCAACGCCGCGUGAGUGAUGAAGGCUUUCGGGUCGUAAAACUCUGUUGUUAGGGAAGAACAAGUACGAGAGUAACUGCUCGUACCUGACGGUACCUACC
rnacentral:rRNA from 1 species